rnacentral:rRNA from 1 species
UGGCUCAGAACGAACGCUGGCGGCGCGCCUAAUACAUGCAAGUCGAGCGAGAAGGUGUAGCAAUACACUUGUAAAGCGGCGAACGGGUGAGGAAUGCAUGGGUAACCUACCCUCGAGUGGGGAAUAACUAGCCGAAAGGUUAGCUAAUACCGCAUACGUUUCCGGAACUUCGGUUUCGGAAAGAAAGCAAUACCGUGGGUAUUGCGCUCCUGGAUGGGCUCAUGUCCUAUCAGCUUGUUGGUGAGGUAACGGCUCACCCAAGGCUUCGACGGGUAGCUGGUCUGAGAGGACGAUCAGCCACACUGGCACUGCGACACGGGCCAGACUCCUACGGGAGGCAGCAGUAAGGAAUAUUGCGCAAUGGACGAAAGUCUGACGCAGCGACGCCGCGUGGGGGAUGAAGGUCUUCGGAUUGUAAACCCCUUUCGGGAGGGAAGAUGGAGUGGGUAACCACUUGGACGGUACCUCCAGAAGCAGCCACGGCUAACUUCGUG